rnacentral:rRNA from 1 species
AUGGGAGCCGGUCUCUAUGGGUAUCUUGACCAAACAAUUCCUGAACCUACCAAAACAAUCUCGUCCAAAAACUCUGAAGGAAAGGAACAGAUUGUUCCAAAUCCCGCCUACACCCCUUGGUUAAUCCAAGACCAGCAGAUCAUAGCCUACCUGCUGAGAAAUCUCUCCAAAGAAAUCCUAGUUCAGGUUGGCUCGAUGGAGACAUCGCAUGCGAUCUGGACAUCCCUUGCAAACAUGUUCGCAACCCAAUCCGCAUCCCGUGUAAAUAACCUCAGAAUCUCUCUGACCAAUGCCCACAAAGGUUCUCAAUCUGUUGCUGCUUAUUUUGGUCAUAUGAGAUCUCUUUCGGAUGAACUUGCAGCUGCGGGAAGGCCUAUCGAAAAACCGGAGCUACUGUCCUUCAUCAUCGCGGGGCUGGACAUGGAUUAUCAGUCCAUCAUCUCGGCCUUGGAUGUCCGCGUCGAGCCCGUCUCUGUUGAUGAGAUGUUCGCAAUGGUGGCGAACUUUGACCAGCGGGUCGAGAUUUUCCAUGGCUCAGGUGCGGGCGGCUUCAAAUCCUCGGCCAACAUGGCUGCAAGGAAUCGCGGCGGCGACGGCAAAAACAACUACCGUGGCUCGCCCAAACCCACUAAUGGUGGUGGUGGCGGGUAUCGCGGUGGUGGUGGAGGCAACAAUGGCGGUGGCGGCUACAACAACCCCAACUACAACAAAGACGGCAAUGGUGGUGGUCCUGUCUACCACAACAACAGUGGCCGCGGUCACCACUACAACAACAACGAUCAAGGGCGCCCCUUCUACAACAACAACCAGGGGCGCCAAGGUGGCUAUGGCGGUGGCUACCGUGGUGGCUAUGGCGGCGGCAACAACUUCCAAGGAUAUGAUGAGUAUGAGGGCAAAUGUCAAAUUUGUAAAAAAAACUAA